UUUGGGAAAUGAUGCGACGAUCCAAGCAGAUUGUAUAGGCUCGCUGCUCUGUACUCUGUUGAACUGUUUUUUUUUUGGUUUGCACGUCAGUCUGAUCCCAAA